UAUGAACCUUUGCUGAAUCUUGUUUUGAACGGGGGAACCACAGGAAUUUGGUCGUAGAAAUGAUUUAUUGCGGCCUUGGGGUGAAUUCUCAUAAUAGAGAAAGGGGUGCUCUCCAUCCCGAACCCGACAGCUAACCUCGUAAGCGUAUGUAAUAUUAGGA
rnacentral:sRNA from 1 species